rnacentral:snRNA from 1 species
UCUUGUGCUUGCUUUGGCAUCACAAGACUGUACUAAAAUUGGAAUAAUACAGAGAAGAUUAGCAUGGCCUCUGAACAGGGAUAACACGCAAAUUCAUGAAACAUUCCAUUUUUUG